UCUCCUGUGGCACAAUGGAUCAUUGUGUCUGGCUGUUAACCAGAAGGUUGGUGUUCGAACCCACCCAGGGAAA